AUCUAUGGGUGAAACUAUGGACAGGACGGUUUUGCAUCAAAAUUUAUUAUAGAUAUUUUAAAUAAAUUGCAAUAUACAUACAAGCAUGAUUAUGAAAAAUUGUGGGUUAGGCAACUUUUGCGCUGACGGCCUCAAUUGUCCUUGCAUUUGAAAUCAACAGAAUAUGUUAUUAAAAGGAAUAUCAUCUAGUUUAAAACUUAAGCUUAAGUUCAAAAAUGAUUAAUAAAUUUCAAUGCUCACCUAGUCUAUGCGAGAGUCCAAUGGUCUUAUUUUCCGGGUCGUAGAAGAAUUCGAGAUGAUAAAGCGGGAAGAAAAUAAAUAGAAGAGAUUUUCCUCACUAAUUAGUUAAUAGAUAGUAGAUAUAGACAUAAUAAUAUUGUUUUUAAUUUGAAUUUUCAAAAUAUAUAAGUAUAUAAAAAUUAAAUAAACUCAUUCUUGACUGUA